GGGGCCAUAGCUCAGUUGGGAGAGCGCUUGCAUGGCAUGCAAGAGGUCGGCGGUUCGAUCCCGCCUGGCUCCACCA
rnacentral:tRNA from 1 species